rnacentral:misc_RNA from 1 species
GCUAAAUGAUAUUAAACUUGCAUAUUGAUUUUAUGGAACAUAGUUUUCCCACGUGUAUAUGGUGGUUUGGCAUGUCGGAAAGUGAGUGAUCUCCCAAAUGCUGAGGGGUUAAUUGUCUAAAAAAUUGGGCGUGCCAACAACCGGCAGAAUGAGGUAUGCGAUCCAAGGUUUAUGCGUUGUACUGAAACCCUCCAGCUAUGUAGAUAUGGCCAACUCACAAUAGUCCCAAUCCAUUAUCCGGUAGGAUUUGAUGCCAGCUUGUGAAAAUCUGCACAUAUAUGUUGAUAAUAUCCACCACCUUUAAAGAACUUGGCAGUGAUGAUGGG